rnacentral:lncRNA from 1 species
UGCUGACCUAGGGACAAUUUGUAACUGAAAAUCUUAAGCACUUGCUGCUUUUGUUGAAAUACAUGUGCUUUGGAUUUAUUAGUAUUAUAUAUGUUCAAGUUUAUUCCAGUUAGUAGUUGUAGGGACUGAUGGUGAAAGAUCAGCAAGAAGUUCAAGUACAGAAGCUCAAGCUUCUCAAACAGCUUGUGCAAGAUCUACAUCUGUCUGGGAACAGACUACAAGGGUGGUUUGGAAGGAAGACAUCAGUCUUUGUGCAGUGGACACAAAAAUAACAGCUGUGAUACUAAAYAGGAGGCCUGGAAGAAGCUGAUGUGAAUGAUCAGGGGUGACACAUGGAUAAUCAGCAGAAGAACACAUGCUGAAGACCCCUAACCCUUGUGCAAAUCCUGAAGAUGCAUCCUUGGAAGCAUGCACUUUUUCUGUGAUAGAAAGGGAAAAUGCAGCCUUCUGCUUUACUGGAGUUUGCAAGGACACAGUAUAUUUGCUUAAGAGGGCACUCUACUGGCUACUUUUUGGAAGUUUCUUGCUCCUUCUGCCUGGAACUUCUCAUACUGUCCUAGUGCUUGGGAAGGACCUUGAAAUGUCCCUGCCUCCACAGAAGUAUUCUGAGAAUUACCAUAGAGCACUUUGGAGUCAGGGAAGACCUCCCUCAGAACUCCAUUGAAGAGCAGCAACUAGAAGACCAAGAACUGGUGCUUCCAAGGCCUCCAGGCUCAUGGAACUAUAAAAGGGAAUGUAGGGGGCAUAGGAUUUUUGAGCUGACGCAGUGCAGAUGUUGGGGACUGAAAUGGAGCAUCUGAACCUGAUGGACCUAUAUUGCAAAAUGUGUGUUUAUCAGUGGUUAAUAAUUUAAUUCUCCAUGUAAUAAUGUAAGGAACUUUCAAACCUUCUAUCUAGUUUGACAUGUUCAUAUCAGCAGUCCCAUUCUGCACAGCUCUCUGGUGAGCUAAAUCUUCUUUUCUGGCAUUAUUCCAAAUAUUUCUAAGGGGGGAAAAAUUCAUGUGAUAUCCUUUCCAGCUACACUAUGGAGGACAAUAAACACUUCCAUCAAGGUUAAAACUUCCCUUUC